rnacentral:rRNA from 1 species
AACGUAGGAGGCGAGCGUUAUCCGGAUUUACUGGGUGUAAAGCGCGUGCAGGCGGACGGGUAAGUUGGGUGUGAAAGCUCCUGGCUAAACUGGGAGAGGUCGCUCAAGACUGCCGGUCUAGAGCGUGGUAGGGGAAGGCGGAAUUCCGGGUGUAGUGGUGAAAUGCGUAGAUAUCCGGAGGAACACCAGUGGCGAAAGCGGCCUUCUAGACCACGACUGACGCUCAGACGCGAAAGCUAGGGGAGCAAACGGGAUUAGAGACCCCGGUAGUCCUAGCCGUAAACGAUGUGAACUUGGCGCCGGGUGGGUAAAACCGUUCGGUGCCGUAGCUAACGCGAUAAGUUCACCACCUGGGGACUACGGCCGCAAGGUUAAA